GUCCUUCUUCCCCGCCUUCUGGAGGAGCGCGGGACCGUAGUACACGAGGAUCGCGGGACCCGCGCCGCAGGUGGGCUGGUUGUGCAGCGAGUCGCAU
rnacentral:rRNA from 17 species